rnacentral:misc_RNA from 1 species
AAGUUAAUUAAAAUUAAAUUAUUUUCUCCUUUUUAAAUUGAAUUAAAAAUUAAGAAGCCAAUUGGCUUGUUUUUGUAAAGUAUUUUCUAUGGCUUAGCUUUCAUUUAUACAUUAGAGAAUUACUUAUACUUUUGCACAUUAUUAAAAAUAAUUUUAACAUGUACAAUUCAAGCAUAUUUUAAAUGAAAUAUUUUUGUCGAGUAUAAUAAUUAACAAAUCAUGAAAUUUUAAUUUCAAUUUUAUUUAAUUCUCUCAUUUUAAAUUAAAUUUUUAAUCCUUU